UACGGAGGGUGCGAGCGUUGUCCGGAAUCAUUGGGCGUAAAGGGCGCGUAGGUGGCCCGGUCAGUUCGUGGUGAAAGCGCGGGGCUCAACCCUGCGUCGGCCAUGAAUACUGCCGCGGCUGGAGCACUGUAGAGGCAGGCGGAAUUCCGGGUGUAGCGGUGGAAUGCGUAGAGAUCCGGAAGAACACCGGUGGCGAAGGCGGCCUGCUGGGCAGUUGCUGACA
rnacentral:rRNA from 1 species